UACAGAGGGUGCAAGCGUUGUUCGGAAUUAUUGGGCGUAAAGGGAGUGUAGGCGGUUUGCUAAGUCUUCUGUGAAAUCUACGGGCUCAGCCUGUAACGUGCAGAGGAAACUGACAGACUUGAGUGUCGGAGAGGAUAGUGGAAUUCCCGGUGUAGAGGUGAAAUUCGUAGAGAUCGGGAGGAACACCAGUGGCGAAGGCGACUAUCUGGCUGACAACUGACGCUGAGACCCGAAAGCAUGGGGAGCAAACAGG
rnacentral:rRNA from 1 species